AUUGAACGCUGGCGGCAUGCUUUACACAUGCAAGUCGAACGGCAGCACGGGGGCAACCCUGGUGGCGAGUGGCGAACGGGUGAGUAAUGCAUCGGAACAUGCCCAGUAGUGGGGGAUAACACAUCGAAAGAUGUGCUAAUACCGCAUACGCACUGAGGUGGAAAGCGGGGGAUCGCAAGACCUCGCGCUAUUGGAGUGGCCGAUGUCCGAUUAGCUAGUUGGUGGGGUAAUGGCCCACCAAGGCGACGAUCGGUAGCUGGUCUGAGAGGAUGAUCAGCCACACUGGGACUGAGACACGGCCCAGACUCCUACGGGAGGCAGCAGUGGGGAAUUUUGGACAAUGGGCGCAAGCCUGAUCCAGCCAUGCCGCGUGAGUGAAGAAGGCCUUCGGGUUGUAAAGCUCUUUCGGCCGGAACGAAAUCGUCCGGGCUAAUACCCCGGAUGGAUGACGGUACCGGAAGAAGAAGCACCGGCUAACUACGUGCCAGCAGCCGCGGUAAAAC
rnacentral:rRNA from 1 species